GACAGAGGUGCCGAGCGUUAGGCGGAAUCACUGGGCUUAAAGCGUGUGUAGGCGGGUCGUUAAGUGUCUUGUGAAAUCCCACCGCUCACCGGUGGAACGGCUGGGCAUACUGGCGACCUUGAGAGGCCUAGGGGCAGACGGAACAAGCGGUGGAGCGGUGAAAUGCGUAGAUAUCGCUGGACGCGACGGCGAAAGCAGUCUGCUGGGGGCCUUCUGACGCUGAGACACGAAAGCCAGGGGAGCGAACGGGAUUAGAUGAC
rnacentral:rRNA from 1 species